CUCAAAUUGCACAUUUCUAUCAGGAGGUCUGCUGGUAUGUCAGAAAUUAGGCAAGGGGCCUCAUGCACAGCAAGUUCAGCUCAGCCUAUGAAAGAUGCGGCAAGGAUAAUAGAUUGAUAAUCCAAAUUUGCUUGACCCAGUUCUGCUCCCAUACAUGCUAAGGUCUUUGAGCAUCACAUUUUUCUGGAAGAGCUGUAUCUGUUUAACUAAACCUCCUGUUGAGUUUACUGAUGGCUUUGUCCUCAAAUAGGAGUUAAAUACCUGAACAUUUUUCCAGAUGUCAUCCUGAUGGUCACCUGGCUCUGUCUGAGAGGACUCCACAAAGCACUAUUUAUAUAGUUUCUUUUGGGUUUCUCAGCUACAGAGAGGCUCUUUCUCCAAAAUAUCUUGUUUUCAUAGAGGGAAAUGUUCAUCAUUUCCUAAAGUCUCAUCAGGAGGGUAUCAGAACUAAUGGUGUAUUUGUGGAUUAGUGGAAAUACUUGGCAGCCAUCCCACGGCUCUCUGCAGGAGCUAUAUUGCCUUCAGCAACACGAAGGGGUUGAUUGUGGAAGCUGCAUGGCAGCAUGUUCAGCAGGGGAUAAAUGACAGCUGUAAAGCAGGGCUGGGCUGAGCUGAGAAGGGGUACUCUGGAUAUUGUUUUGCCCUUCAGUGGAAUUGGGAAGUAAAUGAAACGAACUGGAUUCAUCACCCAUAAAUGCCUGUCAGCUGCAUCUCACAUUAUCUAAUAAACAAAUAGGUGUUUUCUCUAUGCCCUGCAUGUUUUCCAUAGUGGAAUUAAAAGCUAUACAAUA